UCUCUACCCCUGAAAACAGAGCAGAUUGCCGCGCAUACCUGGUUUUUCCAAGUCCGGUCCGGUCCUGGCCGGCUGGCGCGGCUCCUCCGCGCGUUGGAUGAAGCUACAGGGGUCGAGGGCGCAGCCGAGGGUUCAAACUUGUAAGCAAAAGUCAUCCGCGAAGGCGGCGGGAAAGUCUCAGACAAAAAGAAGAAGGAGAAGAAGAUGUUGAGGGUCGCCCGACGCUUCCGACCCCUCAAGAUCACUGAAAAUGGAUUGGCUCCUGUCAGAUGCACAUCUGCGCAGGUUCACAAGGCACAGGACAUUUUGUUUAACCAAUCACUACGGGGAUCUCAUACCAAUUCCCAUGGAAAAUCAUUAGUGCACCCUCCUCUUUUUCAUCAUCUUCCAGGCCUUAAACUUCCUCCUUGUCUGUCUGAUUAUGUGGAACCUUGCCCUACAAAGAUCACUACACUUCCAAAUGGUUUGAAGAUUGCAUCUGAGAACAUCUUGCAGGGGCCCGCAGCCUGCAUAGGUCUUUUUGUUGACUGUGGUUCCAUAUAUGAGUCAGAAUGGUCCCAUGGUGUGACACAUCUUUUAGAAAGAAUGGCAUUCAAAAGCACGAGGAACCGAAGUCAUUUAUGUAUUGUACGUGAGAUGGAGGCUGUUGGAGGGAAUGUUUCUGCUUCUGCCUCAAGGGAGCAGAUGGGUUACUCAUAUGAUGUUUUGAAAUCCUAUCUACCUCAGGCCAUUGGAUUGCUUAUCGAUUGUGUUAGAAAUCCCUUGUUUCUUGAAAACGAAGUCAAGGAGCAGUUAACUAAGGUAAAAAGAGAAAUUGGAGAAAUUUCAGACAAUCCACAAAAUUUCCUUUUGGAAGCUCUUCAUCCUGUUGGUUAUUCUGGUGCAUUGGCGAAUUCGCUGAUGGCAUCUGAAUCUGCUAUAGACAGAUUGGAUGGUUCUAUCAUAAGAAAAUUUGUUGAUGAAAAUUACACUGCUGAAAGGAUGGUCUUAGCAGCAUCUGGGGUGGAUCAUGAAGAACUAUUGACUAUUGCAGAACCACUGCUGUGUGAUGUAAGAAGUGGUGCUCCCUUGGAGGAGCCAAGGUCCAUCUAUGUUGGUGGUGAUAUUAGGUACCCAGCAGACUCGCAGAAGACUCAUGUGGCAUUAGCUUUCGAAGUACCUGGAGGUUGGCGUGAAGAGAAUGAUGCAACAGCAGUGGCUGUUUUGCAGACCCUCAUGGGAGGCGGCGGUUCAUUUUCUGCUGGUGGCCCAGGGAAGGGGAUGCAUUCUCGCUUAUAUUUACGUGUCUUAAAUAAAUACCUGCAGAUCGAUGCCUUCUCUUCUUUCAGUAGUAUAUAUAAUCAGACUGGGAUGUUCGGAAUCCAUAUAACUACGGGAUCAGAUUUUGUGGCAGAUGCAGUUGAAAUUGCAACAGAAGAAUUACUGGCUGUUGCUAUCCCUGGAGAAGUUACUGAGGCGGAAUUGUAUCGAGCCAAGAAUGCUACCAGAUCAGCUGUUUUGAUGAACCUAGAAUCAAGAAUGAUCAUUUGUGAAGAUAUUGGCAGACAAAUUUUGACAUAUGGAAACUGGAAGCCGGUUGAGCAUUUUCUGAAGGCUAUAGAUGAAUUGACUCUUGAUGGCCUUACAAUGAUUGCUAAGAAGAUCGUUGCUUCUCCACUUACAAUGGCUUCAUGGGGGGAUGUUGGUCGUGUCCCGAGCUAUGAUUCUGUCUGUCAGCAAUUCCACUAAAAUUGAGUUUUGGUUGCUCCAAACCUGCUGAAAUUUGGCAUCUGGUUUUCCCCAUAACUUAUGUUAUCAUUAUGAAGGAAAUGGACUUCCUGUGGCUUGUUUGGAGUUCUCUGCUUUGACAUGCACUGUCCAUAUCAUGGCAUCAUAACGUGUUUCUUUUUCUAGCUCGAUGUUGACAGGAGAGCCGACUUGACCAAACAGGAACCUGGUCAGUUUUAGGGGGUUGACAGAAGGAGCCCCGUCUCCAUGAAAAUCAAUAAAACUCGGACGUUGAUUUUUCUUUUCCUUUUAAUCAUCCGACGAGCAGAACUUAUUAAAGAACCUCAGAUUGGUUGGAAACAACAAUGAAACCCUCAGACUGAUUAAACUAAUAAUACUUUGUCGUUUUCGGCACCAAUCAUUUGUGAUGCGUCAUAUGUGAUAGUGGUUUGGAAAUUGGAGACUGAAAAAGGGUGGAGAAAAGAAAAGAAAAGAAAAGAAAAAAAAAGAAAAGAAAAGGAGAAUUGUGGUGGACUGAAAGAACAUGGUGCCAAACGUGAAGAAAUAAAAAAGGUGGGUCUUCUAUGGAGGCUUCUCACUUAUUUCCUCUGGUCUUCAUCUUUCUGCUGUGUUUGACAAUGAAACCUGCUAAUGGUGUGGCCCCAUUGGGGAGGCGUGGCUUCGUUACGU